GAUAAAAUGGUUGAACCCAGUGUAUGAAGAGUUAAUCACUCGGCUGGGGAUAUCCGAAAAACUACCACGAAGAUAAUUGGGAUACUGAUUAUCAAAUGGUCGCUUAAACGAAAGUGGCGGCGAUAGGAAGAAACUUCUAAAGUUAAGGAUAGGUGCUUGAUUAUUUGCUAACAAAAGUAUUAUUCAUUCCGGUAUCGUAAUAGAAGGGAUGGUUAAAAGCCAGUGCCCUGAAUCUUGAUAAGGUAUAUAGAGUGGCAUCUAAUACAAACUCAAGAAAAGCCAAUAAGAUACUACGUCGUUGAAAUCCAGAAAUGGAUGUAUAAGGAAUGUUUAAAGUAUGAGUAGCCCAAAUCGACGUCAACUGAACAAGAAAUAUGUUCUUUGAUAUAGAAUUAUUAUUGUGCUGAAUGAUGGGUGAAAAUUAGAGGUAAGCAAACCUCUCGUUGUGCGCCGAAAGGCAGGGUAAGGAAGUCCAGAAUUGCUACCUGUGGCUCAGCCCUUAUCUUCAACGUGACUGAAUAUGUUGGAAAAAUAAUUUAAGUAUGGCGAAGGCUGCGACGGUUUUAU
rnacentral:sRNA from 1 species